ncrna:Bombyx mori (domestic silkworm) microRNA bmo-mir-2733i precursor
UCUGUUAAUAAUAGUUGUUACUUCCUCAGAUGACAUUAUAUAUUGUCACUGGGAAUGUAAUGACUAUUUUCAACAGA